AACGAACGCUGGCGGCAUGCCUAACACAUGCAAGUCGAACGAGACCUUCGGGUCUAGUGGCGCACGGGUGCGUAACGCGUGGGAACUUGCCUUUAGGUUCGGAAUAACUCAGAGAAAUUUGAGUUAAUACCGGAUGAUGUCUUCGGACCAAAGAUUUAUCGCCUUUAGAUGGGCCCGCGUUGGAUUAGCUAGUUGGUGGGGUAAUGGCCUACCAAGGCGACGAUCCAUAGCUGGUCUGAGAGGAUGAUCAGCCACACUGGGACUGAGACACGGCCCAGACUCCUACGGGAGGCAGCGGUGGGGAAUAUUGGACGAUGGGCGAAAGCCUGAUCCAGCAAUGCCGGGUGAGUGAUGAAGGGCUUAGGGUUGUAAAGCUCUUUUACCCGAGAUGAUAAUGACAGUAACGGGAGAAUAAGCUCCGGCUAACUCCGUG
rnacentral:rRNA from 1 species